rnacentral:rRNA from 1 species
UACGAAGGGGGCUAGCGUUGCUCGGAAUUACUGGGCGUAAAGGGCGCGUAGGCGGUUAGUUUAGUCAGAGGUGAAAGCCCAGGGCUCAACCUUGGAACUGCCUUUGAUACUGGCUAUCUUGAGUUCGGGAGAGGUGAGUGGAAUGCCGAGUGUAGAGGUGAAAUUCGUAGAUAUUCGGCGGAACACCAGUGGCGAAGGCGACUCACUGGCCCGAUACUGACGCUGAGGCGCGAAAGCGUGGGGAGCAAACAGG